rnacentral:lncRNA from 1 species
GAUCGGUGCUCUUUCAGCUUCGCCACCCAUGGACAGUUUAAGUGUUAACAGCUCAGUGGAAGGUCAGUGUGCAGCCAUUGAAACCAGCCUGGAAGAGAAAUGGCUGUUGGAACAUGAGACAGGAUGGAUAUGAAAGAUAUUCCUGUCGACUGUGUUAAGUUUCAGAUGCUGGCUAGCCUUUGAAGUAGAAAUGUGAAGAACACUGAAGAUGUGAAUCUGGGGUUCAGGGUAUAGGGCAGGACUCAAGAUUCUCCUUGGAGAUUGUGCAUUUUAUCUUGAAAGAAUUCCAUUGUUUUUCAGAGUAGUAAUUUCAUUUGAUAGAAUAAAGAGCCAGGGUAUUUUGAGUAGAAUGAUGAGAAAAAUUUUAAUCAAACUUCUUAAAAAAUAAUUGUGAAUAAAAAUAAGAGUAAAAUAUAGGUGAUUUUCAGUCAGCCUCAGUGACCUGUCUGUAUCUGACCUGAGUCCCAGCUGAUACAGCCAGUAGACUGUAGAAAAUUCAGAAUUUAUUUGCAUGUUUUAAAGCUAUUGAGAAGAAGAAUUAGACAUUUUAAUUUCUCCCCCCACCCCUAUAAGGAACCUUGUGGAUAUACUUGUGAGCCUUACCUGUUUUUUUCUUAGCAGGAAACCAGUCAGAAGUGGGAGGCCUCUGAACAAACCAUACUGUAGCCUCCAGCUUCUGCUUUCUCCAGGCAGAAUGCUGGCCCUCGGUGCCUCUUUCUGCUUCUCCUUGUUCAGACCACUGAGGACUGCCCCUGUCCUGUCUGACUCCUCCUGUUGUGAUUCUCAAAGGUUCCUGUGGAGCCACACCACCUCCUGUAUUGGCACUUCAUUAGGCCAAGGCUGCUUUCUGAAAGGAUCUGGCUGGUAGACCGUGACCUUGAUCCCUGCCUCUAAGCCUAGCUUUAUUCUCAUCAGCCACCACCUUUUUGGCGCUAGAACAGUGCUUUU